rnacentral:rRNA from 1 species
GAUGAACGCUGGCGGCGUGCCUAAUACAUGCAAGUCGAGCGAACGGACGAGAAGCUUGCUUCUCUGAUGUUAGCGGCGGACGGGUGAGUAACACGUGGAUAACCUACCUAUAAGACUGGGAUAACUUCGGGAAACCGGAGCUAAUACCGGAUAAUAUUUUGAACCGCAUGGUUCAAAAGUGAAAGACGGUCUUGCUGUCACUUAUAGAUGGAUCCGCGCUGCAUUAGCUAGUUGGUAAGGUAACGGCUUACCAAGGCAACGAUUCAUAGCCGACCUGAGAGGGUGAUCGGCCACACUGGAACUGAGACACGGUCCAGACUCCUACGGGAGGCAGCAGUAGGGAAUCUUCCGCAAUGGGCGAAAGCCUGACGGAGCAACGCCGCGUGAGUGACGAAGGUCUUCGGAUCGUAAAACUCUGUUAUUAGGGAAGAACAUAUGUGUAAGUAACUGUGCACAUCUUGACGGUACCUAAUCAGAAAGCCACGGCUAACUACGUG